rnacentral:lncRNA from 1 species
UUGGAUGCGGCUCGCACUCCCAACUUUUCUUUACUGUUCUUAUGGAGAUCCGCAAAUGGAUCUCGUUUUGUAGCCUUUCAUUUCCUUCUUUCUUUUUCUUUCCUUAUCUUUUCCCUUGCUUCUCUCUCUGUUUGAUUUUUUCUGAAUAGAAGAAAAAUUGCAGAGCUAAAGAUAUAGCUGCAAUCUUUCUAGACUUUGUUGAGUUUGUUUGCUAAUCAGAGAAGCUCACUACUAGCAACUGGAGCUUGGGCUUUCAUCUAGAUCUGUGGAGAGUUUUUCAUGCAGUCAAUGAAAUCUUUGAACAGAAAACAGUGAUUUAUAACUGCUUUGAUUUCUGUAAGUGGUGUUAUUGUUCAUAUCAGUCACCGACGCAUCAGAGUAUAUGGAACCAUCUCCUCAAUCCCUCUUCAAUUCAGGUGCGUUAUGCAUAAAAUUCAGUUCUUUCUCUAGGAUUUGUUUGAAAUUCUUCUCGGUAUUUCUUCUGAUGGUUGGUUAAGCUGGAAUUCCUGUCUAUGAUCAGAAACAAUGAGGAGGAUUCCAAUUGAUGUUUGAUUGUUUUUUUUUUUUUUUUAUGGUAAUUGAUGUUUGAUUGUUGCUUCCGGUGAUAUACACUUGUACAGAAACUGACAACAUUGAGAAGGUUUUCAUAUGGAGCAGAAGGGACUUGGACGUGUAGAAGUAGAAGUAGAAGUAGCAGUAG